CAGCAGCCACGGUAAUGCGUAGGGUGCGAGCGUUAAUCGGAAUUACUGGGCGUAAAGCGUGCGCAGGCGGUUGUGUAAGACAGGUGUGAAAUCCCCGGGCUUAACCUGGGAACUGCGCUUGUGACUGCACAGCUAGAGUAUGGCAGAGGGGGGUGGAAUUCCACGUGUAGCGGUGAAAUGCGUAGAGAUGUGGAGGAACACCGAUGGCGAAGGCAGCCCCCUGGGCCAAUACUGACGCUCAUGCGCGAAAGCGUGGGGAGCAAACAGGAUUAGAUACCCCCGUAGUCCCUGUCUCUUAUAC
rnacentral:rRNA from 1 species